GUGUCUUUUUUAAGGUGUGUGUCUGUCAUGGUGUGUGUGUCUGUCUGUGUCAUGGUGUGUCUGUCUGUCAUGGUAUGUGUGUGUUUCUGUCUGUGUCACGGUCUGUCUGUGUCAUGGUGUGUGUCUGUCAUGUAAUGUGUGUCUGUGUCACGGUCUGUGUGUCAUGGUGUGUGUGUGUGUUUGUCUGUGUCAUGUAAUGUGUGUCUGUCUGUG